UAGUCGCACGAGUUCAGACUCGUGGCGAAUAGCUCAGUAACACGUGGCCAAACUACCCUUCGGAACACAAUACCCUCGGGAAACUGAGGCUAAUAGUGUAUACCAUACCACCACUGGAAUGAGUGGUAUGCCAAACGCUCCGGCGCCGAAGGAUGUGGCUGCGGCCGAUUAGGUAGACGGUGGGGUAACGGCCCACCGUGCCAAUAAUCGGUAUGGGUCAUGAGAGUGAGAACCCAGAGACGGAAUCUGAGACAAGAUUCCGGGCCCUACGGGGCGCAGCAGGCGCGAAACCUUUACACUGCACGACAGUGCGAUAGGGGGAUCCCAAGUGCACAGGCAUAGCGCCUGUGCUUUUCGGUACCCUAAGGCGGUACCAGAAUAAGGGCUGGGCAAGACCGGUGCCAGCCGCCGCGGUAAUACCGGCAGCCCAAGUGAUGGCCGAUCUUAUUGGGCCUAAAGCGUCCGUAGCUGGCCGCGCAAGUCCAUCGGGAAAUCCACCUGCUCAACAGGUGGGCGCCCGGUAGAAACUGCGUGGCUUGGGACCGGAAGGCGCGACGGGUACGUCCGGGGUAGGAGUGAAAUCCCGUAAUCCUGGACGGACCGCCGAUGGCGAAAGCACGUCGCGAGAACGGAUCCGACAGUGAGGGACGAAAGCCAGGGUCUCGAACCGGAUUAGAUACCCGGGUAGUCCUGGCCGUAAACAAUGUCUGCUAGGUGUGGCUCCCACUACGAGUGGGUGCUGUGCCGUAGGGAAGCCGCUAAGCAGACCGCCUG
rnacentral:rRNA from 1 species